UUCAAAUAAUUUUUCAUGGUGGCCCUAAUCCGUAAACAUAUGUAUCGAGUUAUUUGAGGCUUCAUUUUUGCGUCAUCAUGGAUUGUGCAGUUACGACGCAAACACCUGUAAGGCUGAUUCGACCAAUCAGAGAGCGGGAUUCGGCGAAGAUUCCAUAACUACGUUUAUGUUCGAAAUGUAUAUAUUUAUUCCACUCAGUUCAUUUGAAGCCAUUUCACGGAGAGUCAAGCUGUACUCACGGCACAAAAAUGUCUUGCGGAUGUUUUUGCUGGUGGCCUACGAAAAAGCAGCGUGACACUGUCACUGUUGAAGGGGCAGUCCAAAAAGAAGAUAUAAAGAAGCCCCAAAAAAAGAAAUUUAAGUUGACGCGCAAGUUCCCAUGGCUGAAACGUGAGAAGUGCCCAGCCAAGGAGAGCUCAGAUGAGGAUGGACGGAAGUCAGCUGACUGCAUGGACUCUGGGGACAGUAACGCUGUCACGAACAGCCAGAGUCCGUGCGUAGUCACUGUCGACUCUGAGGUACACAGAU